AAUUUNNNGUCUAAUCUGCCCANNNNNNNAUUAAAUGGCCGCGGUAUUUUGACCGUGCAAAGGUAGCAUAAUAAUUAGUUUUUUAAUUGGAAGCUGGAAUGAAUGAUUGAAUGAGAAAAUAACUGUCUUAAUUUAAUUUUUUUAGAAUUUUAUAUUUAAGUAAAAAAGCUUAAAUAAAAUUAAAAGACGAGAAGACCCUAUAGAGUUUUAUAUUUAAAUAUUAUUAAUUAUUAGUAGUUUAAAAUAAAUUAAUUUAUUUAAUUAUUUUGUUGGGGUGAUGAAAAAAUUUAAUAAACUUUUUUUUUAUAUUAAUACUUAUAAGUAAAUUUUUGAUCCAAUAUUUUUGAUUAUAAGAUAAAAUUACCUUAGGGAUAACAGCGUAAUUUUUUUUGAGAGUUCUUAUCGAAAAAGGAGAUUGCGACCUCGAUGUUGGAUUAAAGUUAAUUUUUGGUGUAGAAGCUAAAAUAUUAGGUCUGUUCGACCUUUAAAACUUUACAUGAUCUGAGUUUAAACCGGUGUAAGCCAGGUUGGUUUCUAUCUUUAAUUAAUAUAAAUGUUUUAGUACGAAAGGACCAGAUAUUUAUUAAUUUAAUUUUUUAUUGAAUAAUAUUAUUAUUUUGGCAGAUUAGUGCAAUAGAUUUAGAAUCUUUAUAUGUAAUUUUUACAAAUAAUAUAUUAUUUUAAAUGAUUUGGUUAUAAUAUUUUUUUCUAUAUUAUUAUUGGUUAUUUGUGUAUUAGUAGGGGUAGCAUUUUUAACAUUAUUAGAACGUAAAGUAUUAGGUUAUAUUCAAAUUCGUAAAGGUCCUAAUAAAGUGGGUUUUAUUGGUAUUUUACAGCCUUUUGGUGAUGCUAUUAAAUUAUUUACUAAAGAACAAGUAUUUCCUUAUAUGUCUAAUUUAAAUUUAUAUUAUUUUUCUCCUGUAGUAAAUUUAUUUUUAUCUUUAGUUUUAUGGAUAUGUAUGCCUUUUUACUUUAUAUUUUUAAAUUUUAAUUUUUCAUUAAUAUUUUUUUUAAUUGUUUCAAGUUUAAGAGUUUAUACAAUUAUAAUUGCUGGUUGAUCUUCAAAUUCUAAUUAUGCUAUAUUAGGAAGUUUACGAUCUGUUGCUCAGACAAUUUCUUAUGAAGUAAGAUUAGCUUUAAUUUUAAUUUGUUUUUUAUUUUUAAUUUUAGGUUUUAAUUUUUAUUUAUUUAUA
rnacentral:rRNA from 1 species